GUGGAGAUGAGGUUGGAGAAAAAGAGAGUUUUUCUUCUUCCUUGUUCACACAGAGAAAAAACACGGUGCACCCUCCCAAAUUAAAUUAUCUAUAAAAAAGCUUCCUCUGAAAAACUCUCUAUCCCUCUCCCAAAAUUAAUCACAAAACCUACAAAUUCUUGUAGAUUCUCAGCCCAAAAGAAAAUGCAAAUGUUUUCAUUUGGUAGUGUCCUUUUUUAGGUGUUCGUUAUAUCUGUGUAAUUCAAAAUGGAGGAUACGUGAAAACCUUUGUGACUUCAAGGGGCCUUCUGACGACAGCCUCUCGAAAUUCGAAAAAGAUUCAAUUGUUCGUAGAUUCUUUGCAUGAUCUACAACGUUGAUGUAUCAUUGAAGGGCUUCAACUCUAUUAAUUGCCACUAUAAUGUUGUGGCUCACGAGCCUGCUUUCAUGCACAAAGAUAUCAUUUGUCGUUGAUUUGGCUUAAUAAAGACAAUCCCUAUGAGUGGAUUCCUUAUUAGCUGCCGACUGGCGUUCUUUUUAGUUUCUUCGUUUCUUCUUUAUACUGAAAGAAAAAAAAGAUUUUAAAUGCAUAUAUUUUUUUAAGACAAUAACCAUCAACUAGUAGAAUAACAUGAAUAUCCAUUUUACCAUAAAACAUAUAUAAUUUUAAUAUAUUUAUUAAACUUCUACUAAAGACAAAUAUGAAACCUUUCAUCUAAUCUCAACACCCCAAUUAAAAAAAUAAUUAAAAAAAAUCACGAUCAAGGAAAAACAAGGUGCAUAAAAUAUAUGAUAAUGUAGAAAUUAUGGACAAGACAACAAAGAUUAAUCUAACAUUUUUAAUUUCUACCUUUGAAAAGUAGAAAAUUGAAUGAUCAUUAAAAUAGAAAUGAAUUACUUGGAAAUCUUCAAGAUUUUACCCAAAAAAAGAUUAAACAAAUUUGAAGAUUAAGGUCACAUUUGACCAUCUAAUUUUACUUUGUCAAUUCCUUAGUCAACUUAAAUUACAUUACCAUUUUAAAUGAUUAACAAAAUUUGGUCAGAAUUUUUAUUCCAACUCUGCCCCUGAUUAAAUCCGGAUAUUACUAAUACAGCCGCCAUAAUUGCGUGUCUGAGACAGUUUUCCAAGUAAAUGACAGCCAAUUGCCCAGUUAACGUGGCGUGCUCCUACUGGUCAUUCUUAAGUCUAAUUGGUGGGCCCACAUUACGUGGCGUAAAAUGAUUAGUGGUGAGAGAAAUAAUAUCCUGACUGGGUGUUUGAUUGUUUUUUCUUUUCUUUGGAAUUAUUGUCUUCGCGACAGACAAGCCACGUGAGGAAUAAUUGUCGUUAUCUGUUUAGGCCUUUCGGGGGCUGCGGCCCAAUUAUUAUGCACGUGUCUCUUUCUCCUCAUAAAUUUUCAAAAAAUAUAAAAAUUGAAGAAAUUGCAAA